CCCUUAGAUGUCCUGGGCCGCACGCGCGCUACACUGAGUGUCUGAGAUACGAGUCUGCCUGGUCCGGCAAGGUCUAGGUAAUCGCUAAGACACAUCAUGCUUGGGAUAGAUUAUUGCAAAUAUUAAUCUUGAACGAGGAAUUCCUAGUAAGCGCAAGUCAACAGCUUGCGUUGAUUACGUCCCUGCCCUUUGUACACACCGCCCGUCGCUACUACUGAUUGGAUGUUUAAGCGAGGUUCUCGAACUGCUAGCGACUUAGCUUCGGUGAGGUCGCAGUGUGGGAAGUGAACCUAGCUUUGGUGUCUAGAGGAAGUAAAAGUCGUAACA
rnacentral:rRNA from 1 species